rnacentral:rRNA from 1 species
GAAUAUUGGACAAUGGGGGGAACCCUGAUCCAGCCAUGCCGCGUGUGUGAAGAAGGCCUUUUGGUUGUAAUGCACUUUAAGCGGGGAGGAGGCUACUCGAGUUAAUACCUAGGGAUAUUGGACGUUACUCGCAGAAUCAGCACCGGCUACCUCUGUGCCAGCCGCCGCGGUAAUACACAGGGUGCAAGCGGUAAUCGGAUUUACUGGGCGUAAAGCGCGCGUAGGUGGCCAAUUAAGUCAAAUGUGAAAUCCCCGAGCUUAACUUGGGAAUUGCAUUCGAUACUGGUUGGCUAGAGUAUGGGGGAGGAAGGUAGAAUUCUAGGUGUAGCGGUGAAAUGCGUAGAGAUCUGGAGGAAUACCGAUGGCGAAGGCAGCCAUCUGGCCUAAUACUGACACUGAGGUGCGAAAGCAUGGGGAGCAAACAG